CGAGAUCUUGUAUUUCGCGUAGGGCCUUCUAUAAGACCCGUAAACCAAUUUUUGGGAACCCCAGUAAGAUGCUGGGGUU
rnacentral:snRNA from 1 species